rnacentral:rRNA from 1 species
CCUACGGGCGGCUGCAGUGGGGAAUAUUGCACAAUGGGCGAAAGCCUGAUGCAGCGACGCCGCGUGAGUGAAGAAGUAUUUCGGUAUGUAAAGCUCUAUCAGCAGGGACGAUAAUGACGGUACCUGACUAAGAAGCCCCGGCUAACUACGUGCCAGCAGCCGCGGUAAUACGUAGGGGGCAAGCGUUAUCCGGAUUUACUGGGUGUAAAGGGAGCGUAGGUGGCAAAGCAAGUCAGAUGUGAAAGCCCGUGGCUUAACCGCGGGAUUGCAUCAGAAACUGCUUAGCUAGAGUACAGGAGAGGUAAGCGGAAUUCCUAGUGUAGCGGUGAAAUGCGUAGAUAUUAGGAGGAACAUCAGUGGCGAAGGCGGCUUACUGGACUGUAACUGACACUGAGGCUCGAAAGCGUGGGGAGCAAACAGGAUUAGAUACCCCUGUAGUC